rnacentral:rRNA from 1 species
UACGAAGGGUGCAAGCGUUACUCGGAAUUACUGGGCGUAAAGCGUGCGUAGGUGGUUCGUUAAGUCUGAUGUGAAAGCCCUGGGCUCAACCUGGGAAUGGCAUUGGAUACUGGCGACCUAGAGUGCGGUAGAGGGUAGCGGAAUUCCCGGUGUAGCAGUGAAAUGCGUAGAUAUCGGGAGGAACAUCUGUGGCGAAGGCGGCUACCUGGACCAGCACUGACACUGAGGCACGAAAGCGUGGGGAGCAAAAGGG